rnacentral:rRNA from 1 species
AGCGAACGCUGGCGGUAGGCCUAACACAUGCAAGUCGAACGGCAGCACAGUAAGAGCUUGCUCUUACGGGUGGCGAGUGGCGGACGGGUGAGGAAUACAUCGGAAUCUACUUUUUCGUGGGGGAUCACGUAGGGGAACUUACGCUAAUACCGCAUACGACCUACGGUUGAAAGCAGGGGAUCUUCGGACCUUGCGCGAUUGAAUGAGCCGAUGUCGGAUUAGCUAGUUGGCGGGGGAAAGGCCCACCAAGGCGACGAUCCGUAGCUGGUCUGAGAGGAUGGUCAGCCACACUGGAACUGAGACACGGUCCAGACGCCUACGGGAGGCCGCAGAGGGGAAUAUUGGGCAAUGGGCGCGAGCCUGAUCCAGCCAUACCGCGUGGGUGAAGAAGGCCUUCGGGUUGGAAAGACGUUUUGUUGGGAAAGAAAAGCAGCAGGUUAAUACCCCGCUGUUCUGACGGUACCCAAAGAAUAAGCACCGGCUAACUUCGUG